AAUUUUGUGAGCAUGGAGGGCAUUUUUGACAUUUGAUGUAAUGGUGGACCUUUGACCACAUGAGAGCCAUUUAAUUUGGAGGAGACGAGGUCAAUAUAUGACCACAAAUCUCAUUUCCUCUCCCUCACUUUCAGCCACACUCCCUUUCUCAUCCAUUUUACUUCCUCUCUCUAAAGUCUCAAACUUCUCUUUAGAUUUUGAGAUAGCUAAAGUGAAGUCUAGGAAGGGAGCAAAAAGGAAGGUUGUUCUACUCUUCAAAGUCUGCAUUUCUAUAUCGGUCUUGCAUGCAUUUGGGGAUUUUCGAGUUGAAUUUAUUGGCAUUGGAAUUACUUUCUUGAGGAAAGCCAGAGAAGAUUUGGCGUAAGGUUUGCAAUUACGGACUUAGACAACGCUAUGAUGUUUAUUAUAUUGUAUUGUAACCUUAUAUUUAUGGCUACGACGACCUCGUUUAUGUACUUAAUUCAUUGAAAUUGUGUAAAGACGAUUCAUAUAUUUUGAUUCACGAGAAAUGUAUAAAAGAUGUUAUUUUAACGAUUCUAUGAAAUGUUUAGGGGUUGAUGAUGUUCA